rnacentral:rRNA from 1 species
GAUGAACGCUGGCGGCGUGCUUAACACAUGCCAGUCGAACGAAGCACUUUAUUUGAUUUCCUUCGGGACUGAUUAUUUUGUGACUGAGUGGCGGACGGGUGAGUAACGCGUGGGUAACCUGCCUUGUACAGGGGGAUAACAGUUGGAAACGGCUGCUAAUACCGCAUAAGCGCACGGCAUCGCAUGAUGCAGUGUGAAAAACUCCGGUGGUAUAAGAUGGACCCGCGUUGGAUUAGCUAGUUGGUGAGGUAACGGCCCACCAAGGCGACGAUCCAUAGCCGAACUGAGAAGGUGACCGGCCACAUUGGGACUGAGACACGGCCCAAACUCCUACGGGAGGCAGCAGUGGGGAAUAUUGCACAAUGGGCGAAAGCCUGAUGCAGCGACGCCGCGUGAGCGAAGAAGUAUUUCGGUAUGUAAAGCUCUAUCAGCAGGGAAGAUAAUGACGGUACCUGACUAAGAAGCACCGGCUAAAUACGUG